CGCCUCUUGACCCCUAUAAGAGGUCCCGCCUGCCCAGUGACUUAGUUCAACGGCCGCGGUAUCCUAACCGUGCGAAGGUAGCGUAAUCACUUGUUCUUUAAAUGAGGACUAGUAUGAAUGGCACCACGAAGGUUACGCUGUCUCCUUUUUCUAAUCAAUGAAACUAACCUCCCCGUGAAGAGGCGGGGAUUAACAUAUAAGACGAGAAGACCCUAUGGAGCUUUAAACACACAGCAUUAGCCUCACACCUGUACAUUCCAGAAAAAUAAACAUUAUCCUGGCUAUAUGACUGUUAGUUUUAGGUUGGGGUGACCGCGGAGUACAAAUUAACCUCCACAUUGAAUUGGAACACUCCUGAGCAAAAAGCCACGACUUUAAGCACCAACAAAUUGACAUUAAUUGACCCAAUAUUUUGAUCAACGAACCAAGUUACCCUAGGGAUAACAGCGCAAUCCACUUCAAGAGCUCAUAUCGACAAGUGGGUUUACGACCUCGAUGUUGGAUCAGGGUGUCCUAGUGGU
rnacentral:rRNA from 1 species